AAACCAUGGUGAGGGCAUUGACGAAAUAAUUCCUUGUAACGCUCCCAACUUUCAUGAAAAGGUUCACCCUCCGGUUGAGUGAAAGUAAUAAUAGCUGUCAGU